UUGAUUCGAGAGAUGCUGAUUGCGUGAGUCAGGCGGAUAGUAAUUCACAGUGGGUCAUCGUUUAAACGUAACGAGGAUAAUAAAGGAGAGAGAAGAGAGAAGAGUGAGGGGAUGAAGAGAAGAGGAGAAGUGAGGCGGAUCGAUUCGAUUUUAUCCCGUCUCAUCUGGAAGCGACUUGUUUCGUCAUACUGAUAAAUCGAAAGCGACUCACUCUAAACCGGUUAGAAGUAUCUUUAUCCUUGUAAUGUUUCCACUGCCACGUUGAAAUCAUCUGACAUGAGUGAGAUUCGAAACAGAUAAGCACUCGCUGUGUAGGUGGCAAACUGCUGAAUAGAAUUGGAUUUGAAAUUACGUGGGAUUGAGUUAGAAGAAAAUAGUUCUGAAA
rnacentral:lncRNA from 1 species